rfam:Daedalea quercina L-15889 unplaced genomic scaffold DAEQTscaffold_85, whole genome shotgun sequence.
GGUGGACUGGCGCAAUGGCAGCGCGUUAGUUUCCGGAGCUAGAGGUUCUCGGUUCGAGUCCGGGGUUCAUCG